rnacentral:misc_RNA from 1 species
CCCAUGUGCAGUUGUGUCGCGCGCGCAUAAGUGACAGAUUUAAUACUAGAAAACAAAUACGUUUUGACUCUCAAUUUCUUUCAAAUACUUACUGUGUAAUUUUUUUAUAAGUGUUUUGUGCUGAAAGCUCGCUUUUCAGUUCGUGUCCAAACGAAAGCGAAGGUUUCGUGGCUAUUAGUUGGCCUAAAGGCGCUACCAGACCUGUGCUUUGGCGAGAAGUGUACUACCCAUACAACAUGGCCGGAGAACCUUUAAUGAAACGACAGGAGGCGGAAGUAACAGAUGCGCCAAAGUUUGAGAAGAUAAUUCAUGACAAAACCUUACCUACCUCCUCCGAUGAAGAUGUCGUCUUCAAAGGAGAAGAAGCUUUUCUGAAUGAAGACAGUUCCACUAAGAAGACGGAAGAGG